AGUGAACGCUGGCGGUAUGCCUAAUACAUGCAAGUCGAACGACCGCAUAGUAAGCGUUCGCCUUUACGGUUGGCGGCUGGCGGAUGGGUAACACAUACAUCGGCAUCUUCUUUUUCUUGGGUGACAACGUAGGGCAACUUAUGAUAACACCUCACAUGUCCUACCGCUUAAUUCUGGGGUUCUUCAGACCUUGCGUGUCACUUUGAGCUGAUGCCGGAUUAGCUAGUUGGCGUGGUAAAGGCCCACCAAGGCGACGAUCCGUAGCUGGUCUGAGAGGAUGAUCAGCCACACUGGAACUGAGACACGGUCCAGACUCCUACGGGAGGCAGCAGUGGGGAAUAUUGGACAAUGGGCGCAAGCCUGAUCCAGCCAUACCGCGUGGGUGAAGAAGGCCUUCGGGUUGUAAAGCCCUUUUGUUGGGAAAGAAAAGCAGCAGGUUAAUACCCCGCUGUUCUGACGGUACCCAAAGAAUAAGCACCGGCUAACUUCGUG
rnacentral:rRNA from 1 species